GACAGAGGGUGCAAACGUUGUUCGGAAUUACUGGGCGUAAAGCGCGUGUAGGCUGCUCGGAAAGUCGGAUGUGAAAGCCCUGGGCUCAACCUAGGAAGUGCAUUCGAAACUUCCGAGCUGGAGUGCUGGAGAGGAAGGCGGAAUUCUCGGUGUAGAGGUGAAAUUCGUAGAUAUCGAGAGGAACACCGGUGGCGAAGGCGGCCUUCCUGGACAGCCACUGACGCUGAGACGCGAAA
rnacentral:rRNA from 1 species